rnacentral:lncRNA from 1 species
UCAUUUCAGUCACAUUUUCAUAUAGUCAAUAUUGUGAAAUAAAUUACGUCAUUAUCAAACGUCAUCACUCACUCCCCAACAGAGCGGUGUUCAAAAUCAAAUUAAAUAAGUCUGGAAGGAGCAACUGAGGCUCUUAUUGGAUUUCUUCUCAACUCUGUAAGCCUAUUUGGAGGAAUGAAUUUACAAAACAUAUUGAGUGGUAUGACAUUCAAACACUGCGAUCUAUGGGUCCUCUUGGAGUAGGAUCUUUAAAAAAAAAACAUGUUCCUCUCCAAUCAUUUUCUUUCUCCAAUGUUAAGACAGUAAAAAAACAACUUCAUAGGAGUUGGGACGGAUAUUUUUGGGUGCUCUUUCAUCACUCUGAUAGCUUCAUUCCAUGAAGAAAAGUGUUAAAAAAAUUCCCCAAAAGUUAAUAUUUUUGUGAAUGGUUUGUACAAAUUUUUCACAUACAUCUUUUUAAAUCGAAUUAACAAAGUUCUGAAGAAAAUUCCUCACGAUUCCCAUUAAAGUUUUUUGAAGCAUAAAUGAAUGGACUCUUUGCCUUUCACAUUGCAAUCUCUUUUAGAAGAGCUUUACUAAGGAUUUCAAUACACUAUUACACGAAUUCAUAGUGAGGAUAAUAUCCUUUCAAAGAAUGCACAAUCCUUUGGAGCUUGAAGGUUUGAACAUCAUACCUAUUGAAGACAUGUGGAAAUGUCUUAACUCCUACUGGAUUCGGAAGAUUUAGGAAAACCACCACUAUUUGUCUGACCUCUUGCUUGCCUUUCUAUAUUAUAAUAAUUCUGAUUAUAGUAUGCACCUAUACCAUAGCCUCUGAAAAACACUUUUACAACAUGAACAAUUCUCACCCACAAUCAAAGGCUUUUGCGAUGGAUCAGUAUAUGUGUUUAAAAAAGUUCAGCUUUCCUUGCUGUGAUAGAUGCGUCUACAAAGCACAUUAACGUGUUCUGUGUUACAGAUCGUGAUUCGGAAAUUGCAGCUGAUGCCGUCGUGUCAAAUUCUUUGCUAUGGAUUUUCGUAAUUUUUUUUACCGCCACACCACUAGUAAUAACAUUGGAAAUCAGAAAAAAUGUAACUGUAAUCUGGAGCCUAUUUUCUAGAGGUCCGAACUUCGGAUCCAGAUCUGAAAGUUUGGGUAUCCCAAAUUUAUCAAAACAUUUACUUUUAAAGUUCCAAACGAACCUUCAUCAUGGGGGCCCACAGUGGGUGAACUGGAGUGGAUGUAGAACCCAAACUAUUUGAUUCCUUAGUAGAAUGUUCUUUACUCAGAAUGAAAAAAAAAUU